UUUGAGUAUGUUUAGUAUAUAUGAUUUAAAUUUCAGGGUAUUCCAUGUUUUAAUAAGUAAGUUAUGGGACUUGGAAGAGGUUGUGUUCAAUGAUUAGUAAAACAGAUUUCAGCAGAAAAUUACUUAACUUCCAAGCUACGUAACUCCUUCAUUAAAAAUGGUAUGACCCUGAAACCAAUUGAGAAAGAAAUUUGGAUAAGUUAUGUUUAACCACGUUAAUUUUGAAGGUUGUUGGAUUUAAUUUGGAUUUUAUAUGAAAUUUUGAAUGUUGUACGCUGCUGCUGUCUUCUGGUUUUAAGGCACUAUAGAGCAGUCACGGUUUUGCUUAUAUUCCCGAAGCUAGAGCCAGUGAAAAACUGUGAUUUUUAGUUUAAUAGGAAGCUUAAUCCGAGACGGACGCGUGGAUAUAAGGUUUGCGUAAUUUCGAAUUCGUUUGAUAUUUUUAAAAUAAAACUGAAAUUAGACUGCCGAUGUUGUUUUGAUGAUUACUUGGAUAUGAAAUUUGAGAAAUAUAUUUUCUAUAUUAUUAUCAAAUAUUUUUGAGAAUUUAUUAUUAUGGCAAUUGUUGAGAAAGGUUUGAUGAGAUAGAGAAAGAGGGAACCCGUAAGGGUGGCUAAGUCCGAAUUUUAGUGGAGGUGCUGUUGAAAUUUUAUAAAAUCUAUUUUAUUUGAAAAGUUAUUUUAGAAUAUUUGGAUUUGGAAAAUGAUAUAAUUUAAGUUUUAUUUAGUUAAGAAAAGAAUUAUUCUAUUUUGAAUUCGAUUUACCAAGAAAAGGUUUAUGUUUCAAAAUUAAAUUAUUUUUGAAAGAAACUAUGUUUUGCGAUUGAUUCAAUAUGAAAAGAAUUAUGUUUUAAGCUUGAAAUAAAGGUUUAUUUUCUAGAAGUUUGAUGAAUUUAUAAUAUUUGAAUUUGAAUAGUAAAGAGAGAGAUGAUUUUUGAGUCUUUGGGAAGUUAGUAAACUUGGAAAAAUUUUAUUUGAAUAAUUUUAAUGAGAGGAUUAUAUUUCAAAAAGUAUUUAGUGAAUUUAAAAUAUAUGAUUUACUUAUGUCUUUUGAAGAGGGUUAAACUAAAAAAAAAAGUUCUAAAGUUAGUUUUGAAUUAAGAUUGUUAAAGUAGAGAUUAUGAACUGAAAUGAGGAUUAAGAUUUUCAUGAACAAAUGCUUGAGAAAGUUAAGAAAGGUUUAAGAAGAUGUGUUAAGGAUUCAAAGGAAAAGAGAGAAUGAAGAUUGAUUUGUGGAUUGUUGAGAUUGAGAAAAGGAUAAUGAAAAAUGAUAAAAGGCGGGAAUACCCCACGAACUGUUAGUUGUUUAACUACGGGAGAAACGCAAAAUUGAUAAUUGGUUAAAAUCGGGAAGUACCCACGAACUGAAUGAUCAUUGAUCUCGGGGAAACCUAUAGAUUGUUAUUUAUUUUAUAUGCGGAAAAAAUCCACGGACUGAUAAUCAUUGAUUACGGGAAUAACCCAUGAAUUGUUGUAUGUUGAUCUUGGGUAUAGCCCAUGAAUUGAAGAUCAUUGUUUGCUGUGUAUUGAUCUCGGGUAUAAUCUACGAACUGAAGAUCGCUAUGUUAUUGUGUAUUGAUCUUGGGUAUAACCCACGAACUGAAGAUCUCUAUUUUGUUUGUGAAUUGAUCUCGGGGACGCCCACGAACUGAGGAUCACUGUUUCCCCUUGUGCGUAUAUAAUAGGGUCGGGCUUCGCGCCGACUGCCGGUAGUCACGAAGGAGUGGUAUUCUUACCACCGACACAUAUGCACUAAGGACACAAAGGGAAGCCAUAUCUGGGACUUGUUCCUAGGUAAUUUCGGGCUGUAGGGUGUAAACCGACACGUGAGCUCAUGGCCUGCUUAGGACAGACAUGCGUCAUAUUGGUUGUGCAUUUGCUUUUGGUUGUGUUUGCUUGUAUUACUUAUCUGCGAUUGUGUUGUUUGUUUUAUUGUGAUUUGUUUGUCUGUUGAAUUGAGUUUCUUACUUGUGCUAGUAGUCUGUGAAUAUAUAGAACUGAUUAAUAACUGUUUGUUGUGACUGAGAUUCAAUUAUGUGGCUAAAAGAUAUUUAAUAUGACAAAUUGUGAUUGAGAUCUAUUUUGGGUUUAGAAAUUUAAAGAAAGUAAUUAUUUAUCUAAAGUAAUAUUAAAAAGUACUUCAAAAGGUUUGACUAAGAUGGUUUAUUAAGCAAAGUUAAUUAUUUGCAUGUUAAUCAUUACUUUUACGGCAUUCCCAUUCCCUACUGAGAACGUGUGGUUUGUUCUCACCCCAAAAUCUUCCACCCUUUCAGUGACACAGGUUCGAAGAUUCAGUUUGAAACUGCGGGCGAUUCUAGAAUUUACUUACGAGUUAAGUUUAUGACUUGAGUUUCUUUCAUAGAAUUCCCUCGCCCUUACUGCUUAAGGUUUUUAUUUUAUGCUGAGGGAUAGGAGUUGUACCUAAAUUUUAUUUAAAUUCUUUUGUAUAAUAUUACUAUUAUUAAUAAUUAUGUGAUUAUUAUUACUUGGUGAUGUUUGCUAUAUGAUUUUAAUAAACAAAGACAAAAAUUUCUGGUAUUUUUACUAAAAUUGAAUCGCGAUAUCGAACUAAAGGCUUAAUAGUAAAUAGUUAAUAAGGAAAACAGAUCAGUAACGCCUUACUUUUGGUACGAUCAUGACGUAUUGGAAGUUGGGUCGUUACAAAUGGUAUUAGAGCAGUUCGUUCCUAUUAGAGCCUUGGGAAUGGACUGACUAUGCUUCACUGCAUACUCUGAGUGUCUGUCAUGCUUUGUGACUUGUUCUGAUAACAAGAGUUUGAGUUUUAUAUGCAUGACUGUCUGAUGAUUAACGCUGUUAGUCUACCAUUGCAUGCUUCAUGGUAUUAGGUCUGGCCAACUUAAUACUAAUGAUUUAUGUUUAUGGGAACACUAAUAGGUUAUCAUAGACGAAAUAGAAGUUAUAAGUGAUGCGAUUAACGGGGUUUGGGAGCGAUAGAAUUUAUGAAGUUAGUUUCGAUUCAACGUAUAAUCUUUAUUCGUGCCACAUGAACUCGUGCCAUAUUUUUCUUAGUUGCUUUCAUUAGAAUUCUCUAGUUUGAAUUUCCUCCUUAGAAUGUGAUUUGAUUAUUUCCCAACCAUACCUUGUCAUUCUUGUAUAUCUUUGCUUGCCUAUAAAUCUGAUUGCUUACUUAACUCUUUGAAUAUUCAUUCUUGAUAAUGCCUAUGCUUCUGUUCAUAUAUUCUGUUUUCUUUGAUUUUAGUUUGAACUUAUUUUAUUCUAGCAAUUUUUGAGGGCAAAAAUUUUUUUUAAGGUGGGUAGAAUGUAACAACCCUAGUUUUUGAAAAUCAAAUAAUUAGUUAUUUGUGAUUUAUUUUAAGAAAAUUAUUUUACUAAUGAUAAUUAAAUAGAGUUUCAUGAUAAUUGAAGUUUAAAUUAAUUAGAAUUUUUUUAUAUAAUCUUUAUUGGAUAUUUGGUAUAAUUGAAAUUAUAAGUUUGAUAAUUGAAAAAUUAGAAUAAUUGUAUAAUUUAAUUUAAAUAAAUUCUAUUUUGAAUGAAUUAUAUUAUUAACUUGAACUCCUAGAAAUUAUUUUAUUAGAAAUGAUUAGAUUGAUAUUUAUAAAUACUUUAAGUUUAAGUCAAUUAAUAUUUAUGUACAACUUUAUUAUAAUUAAUUAUUUUAUAAAUUGAAAUUAAAGUUUCGGAGAUAGAAAAAUAAUAGAGAUUUGUAUGAUUUAAUCUAGAAAAUUGAUAUUUGAAUUAAAAUUGUACUUUACAAAAUAUAAUUAACUUGUUCAUUUUAUAAUUUAAAUUAGAAAUAAUUGAUUGAACUUAGCAAUAUGAUGAUAAAUAAUGUUCCUAAAUAUUUUUAAUAAAGUAUAUUUGAUUUUAAAAUUACUCUACCCUCCAAUUUUAUCAAAAUAUCUAUUCAUAUCUAUCCAUAUUCUUUUAUAAAGUCCUAAUUUCUAACCCUAAUUCCCAAAUCAAAUUCAGAAACCUAAUUUCCCAAAUUGAGAAACCCUAACCCACUAACCCCACACCCCAGCGCCGUUCCCCCUUCGUUCACCUUCAGCUUCAUUCCUCAAUAUACACACACAAAACAAGAGAGAAACAGAAGAGGGAGGAGCUGCUGCCGCUACCGUGCCCAGCCAUCGAGCCAUGCAUCGCUGCCAUUUUUGCACCGCCGCCGUCGCUCUCAUCGCUGCUCCGUGGAGGCCGCAGAGAGGAACGCGAACCAGGAGCUUCCGUGUCGUGCCGCCAAUCUGUCACCAUGCUGCUGCGUCGCCAUUGAUGAAGCUUCUGCCACCACCGUGAACUGCGAACAGAGGAGAGGGAGAGAGAGGAGUUUGCGAGGGAGAAGAGGAAGCAACGCUGCCCUUCCAUCACCGCUGCUGCCAAGGUUUGUGGAAGAGAGUGUCGUCGUCGUCGUGGGUGGAGUCCACCGUCCCAGCCGCCACCAGAGAGAGCGCGCGCGAAGGGAAAACCUCACCACAAAGCCAUCGCCGCUGUCGUCAUGCUCCACCGCUGCCACUUCUCACCAAGCCGUCACUAUCAUGUUUCCUGGUCACCAUCGAAGGAAGCCGCCGCCAGCGUCGAUUUGGAGUUGCUGCAAUUAGAACCACUAACGGGGUGAGUUGUUACUGCCCUGUUACCAUUCUAAUCAUAUUCAACGUCCACUGUCUUGAGCUGUUUCUGCCUUGAGUUCGUCAAAUGCGGAUUCCUUGUACUACUGCAACUGUCACUACUGCUGUAGGAACCAACUUUGCUGUUUGGCCGCUGCUGAGGCCUUCCACCAUCACUGGAGUUGCUCAAAACCACCAUGGUUGCUACCCAGGAAACAAAAUGAGUGCUGGAAAUUGUUAUUGAAGCUACCCAAGAACACUGUGUUUCCUGCCAAGGGGACAGAACGGAUGUCAGAACCUGACAGAGUGCUGCUGCCGUCAAUCGGAGAUGCUAAAAUUGCCGCUGCUGCAGGUGGCUUCGAAAUACUUAGUUGUGGCGUUUAGACUCUGCAAUUUCGACUAACUGAGGUAGGAGAUUUAACGUUUUUAAUUUAGAAUGCCCACCAAGUUAUUUGAAUAAGUGCAAAUGGUUAACAAUGAUUUAGAAUUUCUUAAUUGUCAUGAAUGACUUGAAAUGCAUUUGAAAUUAGUUAGUUAGUUAUGAAAUUUGGAGUAAGUUUGAUGAUAUGUUAGUGCUUCAAUUGGAUUAUUAAAUUCAGAUUAAGGCUGUGAAUGUCUUUGGGCUUUGUUGUGAGUGUUUGAAGUUGUAAUUGAUAUUGUUUUCUCUGAUAUGGAUGGAAUUGUUGAAAAGUUCUGACUCUAUGUGAUUAUACUGAAUUAGUUGAGUUGUGUGGCUGAAAUUAUGAUUGGAAUGAUUGAGAUUUUUGAUUGGAACUUUGGUUGAAUUUGUUGAUUUUGUGAGAUUGAAUUAUAGAUUGUUUGAUGAGAGAUUAGUGUGAUUUCGGUAUUUUGAUGGGUCAAAUUGAAACUAUUGCUGUCGAGUUGGUUUAUUGUAAUGGGUUUAGUUAGUGAUUAGUUGAAGUUGGGCUUAAGGAAUAAUUGGAAGAUUGAAUCUUAAAAUGUUGAACUAGUUGCUGAAAAUCUGAUUUUUGAGAUUAAAAGAUGACUUUGGAAGUGAAUCAGUUAUUCAAUGAUAAUUGAAAUGAUAUGAGAGUAAAUGCUGAGUAAACUGUAUUUAAAGUAGUUGUUGGGACUCAAUUUUGGGAAGUUUGAAUUAACUAUAGAACUAGUUAAGAUUUUUCAAAGUUAAAAUGUAAAACUUGAUUUUCUGCAUUACUUUUAAAUGAAGCCGGAGACUUUGAAAAUCUAUAACUAAUUCUGUGAUGAUCGGAAUUGCGUGAGACAAAAUCUGGAUUAAGCUUUGGGAUAUAGAAAGCUGGACUGGUGAAUUAGAGGCUUUUUUAUUAAGUUUAUGAUUUAUGGUAAAUUUUUGAAUUAGGAAUGCCAAAUCUGGUUUUCUGCAGGACGCUUAAGACAGCAGCAACUUGUUUCCUCUAUUAAAAAUUCUCCAGUUUGAAUUUUGAAAUGGAACCAAUUUUAAAUGAAACUCUGGUCCUAGUACUUUAAUUUCAUAAAACUUUAGAAUUGUUAGAGUUGUGGUUUUAAAGAUAUGAAUUUUUAAAGUAAGAGGUAUUAAGCAGUAAAAAUUAGGUUUUGUUUUCUAAGUCAGUAACUUUGAGCCUUUAUAAUUUUUAAUUCUGGAAUGAUAUUGAGAUGCAACCAAUUGGAGGUGAAAUUUGAGUAUGUUUAGUAUAUAUGAUUUAAAUUUCAGGGUAUUCCAUAUUUUAAUAAGUAAGUUAUGGGACUUGGAAGAGGUUGUGUUCAAUGAUUUGUAAAACAGAUUUCAGCAGAAAAUUACUUAACUUCCAAGCUACGUAACUCCUUCAUUAAAAAUGGUAUGACCCUGAAACCAAUUGAGAAAGAAAUUUGGAUAAGUUAUGUUUAACCACAUUAAUUUUGAAGGUUGUUGGAUUUAAUUUGGAUUUUAUAUGAAAUUUCGAAUGUUGUACGCUGCUGCUGUCUUCUGGUUUUAAGGCACUAUAGAGCAGUCAUGGUUUUGCUUAUAUUCUCGAAGCUAGAGCCAGCGAAAAAUUGUGAUUUUUAGUUUAAUAGGAAGCUUAAUCCAAGACGGACACGUGGAUAUAAGGUUUGCGUAAUUCCGAAUUCGUUUGAUAUUUUUAAAAUAAAACUGAAAUUAGACUGCCGAUGUUGUUUUGAUGAUUACUUGGAUAUGGAAUUUGAGAAAUAUAUUUUCUAUACUAUUAUCAAAUGUUUUUGAGAAUUUAUUAUUCUGGCAAUUGUUGAGAAAGGUUUGAUAAGAUAGAGAAAGAGAGAACCCGUAAGGGUGGCUAAGUCCGAGUUUUAGGGGAGGUGCUGCUGAAAUUUUAUAAAAUCUGUUUUAUUUGAAAAGUUAUUUUAGAAGAUUUGGAUUUGGAAAAUGAUAUAAUUUAAGUUUUAUUUAGUUAAGAAAAGAAUUAUUCUAUUUUGAAUUCGAUUUACCAAGGAAAGGUUUAUGUUUUGAGUUUGAAUUAUUUAAGAAAGAAAUUAUGUUUUGAGUUCGAUUCGAUAUGAAAAGAGUUAUGUUUUGGGCUUGAUUGAUCUCGGGGAAACCUAUAGAUUGUUAUUUAUUUUAUAUGCGGGAAAAACCCACGAACUGAUAAUCAUUGAUUACGGGAAUAACCCAUGAAUUGUUGUAUGUUGAUCUCGGGUAUAGCCCAUGAAGUGAAGAUCAUUGUUUGCUGUGUAUUGAUCUCGGGUAUAACCCACGAACUGAAGAUCGCUGUUUUGUUUGUGAAUUGAUCUCGGGGGCGCCCACGAGCUGAGGAUCACUGUUUCCCCUUGUGCGUAUAUAAUGGGGUCGGGCUUCGCGCCGACUGCCGGUAGUCACGAAGGAGUGGUAUUCUUACCACCGACACAUAUGCACUAAGGACACAAAGGGAAGCCAUAUCUGGGACUUGUUCCUAAGUAAUGUCGGGUUGUAUGGUGUAAACCGACACGUGAGCUCAUGGCCUGCUUAGGACAGACAUGCGUCAUAUUGGUUGUGCAUUUGCUUUUGGUUGUGUUUGCUUGUAUUACUUCUCUGCGAUUGUGUUGUUUGUUUUAUUGUGAUUUGUUUGUCUGUUGAGUUGAGUUUCUUACUUGUGCUAGUAGUCUGUGAAUAUAUAGAACUGAUUAAUAACUGUUUGUUGUGACUGAGAAUCAAUUGUGACUGAGAUUCAAUUAUGUGGCUAAAAGAUAUUUAAUAUGACAAAUUGUGAUUGAGAUCUAUUUUAGUUUUAGAAAUUUAAAGAAAGUAACUGUUUCCCCUUGUGCGUAUAUAAUGGGGUCGGGCUUCGCGCCGACUGCCGGUAGUCACGAAGGAGUGGUAUUCUUACCACCGACACAUAUGCACUAAGGACACAAAGGGAAGCCAUAUCUGGGACUUGUUCCUAGUUAAUGUCGGGCUGUAGGGUGUAAACCGACACGUGAGCUCAUGGCCUGCUUAGGACAGACAUGCGUCAUAUUGGUUGUGCAUUUGCUUUUGGUUGUGUUUGCUUGUAUUACUUCUCUGCGAUUGUGUUGUUUAUUUUAUUGUGAUUUGUUUGUCUGUUGAAUUGAGUUUCUUACUUGUGCUAGUAGUCUGUGAAUAUAUAGAACUGAUUAAUAACUGUUUGUUGUGACUGAGAAUCAAUUGUGACUGAGAUUCAAUUAUGUGGCUAAAAGAUAUUUAAUAUGACAAAUUGUGAUUGAGAUCUGUUUUGGUUUUAGAAAUUUAAAGAAAGUAAUUAUUUAUCUAAAGUAAUAUUAAAAAGUACUUAAAAAGGUUUGACUAAGAUGGUUUAUUAAGCAAAGUUAAUUAUUUGCAUGUUAAUCAUUACUUUUACGGCAUUCCCAUUCCCUACUGAGAACGUGUGGUUUGUUCUCACCCCCAAAAUCUUCC
rnacentral:lncRNA from 1 species